GUCAGGAACCUCAGCCUAAAGGCAUGAGGCUUGAAAGAGAAAUCUAAUAAGCCAUCCUGACCAGCCUAAGUCAAAACUUGACUACGUUUUUUGAGUCACGACACCUUGGGAUGCGAAGCUAGUCCCCUGCUCUGUCGCUAGUAGUUAAACCAACUUUAAGGUCACUGAAGUAGUGCUGCUAGCCUAACAAGCUCAGAAAACCUUGGCGAAGCUAACUUUAC
rfam:Crinalium epipsammum PCC 9333, complete genome.